GUUCCCCUCAAAACGAGGCAAUACCCUACCCCACACCCCUGCCAACUUAAGGCCUAGCAAAACACCAGCCCCGCCUUCUACCGCCACCCGGGCCAAGGGGCUCGCUACCGGCGGGAGGGCGGAGCCGCCAAUCUUCGCGCGAGACCAACCCAACCACGAGACUUCCCAGAAAGCCUCAGGCAACAUCUUGAUCACGGCCAGGGAGCCGGUCUAGGGCGGAAGGGUGGGCGGGGCUUGCCCAGAUAUUUAGCGGCACUAAGGCCACGCCUCCAUCGGAAGUGACGGAAACGAGCUAGCGCGUCGAAGAUACCUCUAUGGUUUUCCUCUCGUUCUCGAGUCGGGAAAUGGCCGCUGUGUAGUUACAACGGAGAUAAGUCCUGGGAAUCGUGUUUGGCGUGUCAGGAAUUUGAAUUUAGAGUUUAAUUUCUCAGAACAUUCUCUUCAGGAAGAAUCUUACAGUUUCUCAAAGACUUCACUUCUUAAUCCUGCAUAUACCCAAGGAGAAGGGAAAUGGGUCGCUCCAAUUCUAGAUCACAUUCUUCAAGAUCAAAGUCGAGAUCACAGUCUAGUUCUCGAUCAAGAUCAAGAUCACAUUCUAGAAAGAAGCGAUACAGUUCUAGGUCUCGUUCCAGAACAUAUUCAAGAUCUCGUAGUAGAGAUCGUAUGUAUUCUAGAGAUUAUCGACGAGAUUACAGAAAUAAUAGAGGAAUGAGACGACCUUAUGGGUACAGAGGAAGGGGUAGAGGGUAUUAUCAAGGAGGAGGAGGUAGAUAUCAUCGAGGUGGUUAUAGACCUGUCUGGAAUAGAAGGCACUCUAGGAGUCCUAGACGAGGUCGUUCACGUUCCAGAAGUCCAAAAAGAAGAUCCGUUUCUUCUCAAAGAUCCCGAAGCAGAUCUCGCCGGUCAUACAGAUCCUCUAGGUCUCCAAGAUCAUCCUCUUCUCGUUCCUCAUCCCCAUAUAGCAAAUCUCCUGUCUCUAAAAGACGAGGGUCUCAGGAAAAGCAAACCAAAAAAGCUGAAGGGGAACCCCAAGAAGAGAGUCCUUUGAAAAGUAAAUCACAGGAGGAACCGAAGGAUACAUUUGAACAUGACCCAUCUGAAUCUAUUGAUGAAUUUAAUAAGUCAUCAGCCACAUCUGGCGAUAUUUGGCCUGGCCUUUCAGCUUAUGAUAAUAGUCCCAGAUCACCACACAGUCCUUCACCUGUUGCUACACCACCUAGUCAGAGUUCAUCUUGUUCUGAUGCCCCCAUGCUCAGUACAGUACACUCUGCAAAAAAUACCCCUUCUCAGCAUUCACAUUCCAUUCAGCAUAGUCCUGAAAGGUCUGGGUCUGGUUCUGUUGGAAAUGGAUCUAGUCGAUAUAGUCCUUCUCAGAAUAGUCCAAUUCAUCAUAUCCCUUCACGAAGAAGCCCUGCAAAGACAAUCACGCCACAGAAUGCGCCAAGAGAUGAGACUAGAGGACGUUCUUCAUUUUAUCCUGAUGGUGGAGAUCAGGAAACUGCAAAGACUGGAAAGUUCUUAAAAAGGUUCACAGAUGAAGAGUCUAGAGUAUUCCUGCUUGAUAGGGGUAAUAACAGGGAUAAAGAGGCUCCAAAGGAGAAAGGAUCAGAGAAAGGGAGGGCAGAGGGAGAAUGGGAAGAUCAGGAAGCUCUAGAUUACUUCAGUGAUAAAGAGUCUGGAAAACAAAAGUUUAAUGAUUCAGAAGGGGAUGACACAGAGGAAACAGAGGAUUAUAGACAAUUCAGGAAGUCAGUCCUCGCAGAUCAGGGUAAAAGUUUUGCUACGGCAUCUCACCGGAAUACAGAGGAGGAAGGACUCAAGUACAAGUCAAAAGUUUCACUGAAAGGCAAUAGAGAAAGUGAUGGAUUUAGAGAAGAAAAAAAUUACAAACUUAAAGAGACUGGAUACGUAGUGGAAAGGCCUAGCUCUACAAAAGAUAAGCACAAGGAAGAAGACAAAAAUUCUGAAAGAAUAACAGUAAAGAAAGAAACUCAGUCACCUGAGCAGGUAAAGUCUGAAAAGCUCAAAGACCUCUUUGAUUACAGUCCCCCUCUACACAAGAAUCUGGAUGCACGAGAAAAGUCUACCUUCAGAGAGGAGAGCCCACUUAGGAUCAAAAUGAUAGCCAGUGAUUCCCAUCGUCCUGAAGUCAAACUCAAAAUGGCACCUGUUCCUCUUGAUGAUUCUAACAGACCUGCUUCCUUGACUAAAGACAGGCUACUUGCUAGUACACUUGUCCAUUCUGUCAAGAAGGAGCAAGAAUUCCGAUCCAUCUUUGACCACAUUAAGUUGCCACAAGCCAGCAAAAGCACUUCAGAGUCAUUUAUUCAACACAUUGUGUCCUUGGUUCAUCAUGUUAAAGAGCAAUACUUCAAAUCACCUGCAAUGACCCUAAACGAGCGGUUCACUUCGUAUCAGAAAGCCACUGAAGAACAUAGUACCCGGCAAAAGAGUCCUGAGAUACACAGGAGAAUUGACAUCUCUCCAAGCGCCCUGAGGAAGCAUACCCGUUUAGCAGGGGAAGAGAGAGUUUUUAAAGAAGAAAAUCAAAAGGGAGAUAAAAAAUUAAGGUGUGACUCUGCUGAUCUUCGGCAUGACAUUGAUCGCCGUAGAAAAGAAAGAAGUAAAGAACGGGGGGAUUCCAAGGGCUCCAGGGAAUCCAGUGGAUCAAGAAAGCAAGAAAAAACUUCAAAAGAUUACAAGGAAUACAAAUCUUACAAAGAUGACAGCAAAAAUGUAUUUGUCUUUUACACGGCUUAUGGUGGAUGAGGACAAAAACUUUGGAAUAGCAAGCUAACACUGAAAAAAAAAAUGACAAAUUAAUGUGUCCUAUUAUCCAGGCUACAUCAGGAGGUUGGACUUCAAUGCAGUGCAUUUCUAGAAACAGUUUGUUAAACAUAAAAGUAGAGAGCAAGAUCAUUCUCGAUCUUCAUCCUCUUCAGCAUCACCUUCUUCUCCCAGUUCUCGAGAAGAAAAGGAGAGUAAGAAGGAAAGAGAAGAAGAAUUUAAAACUCACCAUGAACUGAAAGAAUACUCAGGCUUUGCAGGAGUUAGCCGACCACGAGGAACCUUUUUUCGAAUUAGAGGCAGAGGAAGAGCCAGAGGAGUUUUUGCUGGGACAAAUACUGGUCCAAACAACUCAAAUACUACUUUUCAAAAGAGACCGAAGGAAGAGGAAUGGGAUCCAGAAUAUACCCCAAAGAGCAAGAAGUACUUCUUGCAUGAUGACAGAGAUGAUGGUGUGGAUUAUUGGGCCAAAAGAGGAAGAGGUCGUGGUACUUUUCAACGUGGCAGAGGGCGCUUUAACUUCAAAAAAUCAGGUAGCAGUCCAAAAUGGACUCAUGACAAAUACCAAGGGGAUGGGAUUGUUGAAGAUGAAGAAGAGACCUUGGAAAAUAAUGAAGAAAAGAAGGACAGACGCAAGGAAGAAAAGGAAUAGUAAAUAUGAAGUAAGAUUGCAACAGAGAGCAGAACUUGCACCCACCAUUUUUUUACCUGAUUUUUGUUUUCAAAUAAGAAUGUAAGCAUUUUACUUAAAUUUUACUGUUUGCAAGUAGUCUAUAGAAAUUUUGUUUUAAGUCUUCAAAUAUCUUGAGAAAUAGUAGACUGUAUGUUGAAAAUUGUACUGAAAUAAAGUAGAAAAUUGUUACGUACCAUAUUUGUAACUAUCAACUUUUAAAAAGAAACUUUUACCGUUUUUGUUACAUGCAUUGUAAUUCUGCUUUGUCUAUAAGAUACGGUCAAGUACAGCUCUGUGAAAGUUCUGAUUCUCUUCCUUCCCUGUUUGUUAAUGUUUUAUUCUGAAGUAAACGUUAGCUCUACAUACAAAUCCCUGAACAGAAAUUGUUUAUAGAAUCCACACUAAUUAUUUUAACUGUAUACACCUGCUUAAUUCGAACACACUACAUUGUAGGGUGACUAAUUUUGGAAGUAUACCAUGAAGUUGUUACUUCAGUAAAACUACACUAGUUUAACACUCGAGAAAAUGUUUAAGAAGGAAAACAAGCUUUUCCAAUAGCUAAAAAGUACAAGCUAUUAAAAAUUAGAUUGAAAAGUUUGAGAAAAUGUUAUUUUUUUCUGAAAACAAGCAGUGGCCUAUAAAAAACAUUCUUGGAAGCCUUUCCUAUUUGGGUUCAAUAUUAAGUGUUCUUCCUAUUCUUAUUUGAUAGUUUGAGUCAUGGUCUUAGAUUUCAGCUUUUUGAAAGAGGAAACUGGUUUGUAAUAAUAUUGCAAAUAAAAACUCUAUUCCUACCAAAUGUCUUAAUAAUGAAAAAACAGAACAGAACCUGUAAUCCUGGCAUUGGUAUGGAGGAGGAUUAUCCUGCAGAAUAAGUUGAUACUUUAAUAACCUGAUUUCAUAUCUUACAUAUUCAUUUGAGCUUUUAGACAGCUGAAACAUUAGUUUGUAGUAUAACCAUAAGAAAAAAAUAGGCAAACACAACAUGCUGUUCAUAAGUAGUAUUUUAAGUAACUUGUUUAUCAAAUGUCACCAAUAAAAAGUUUUGGCAGGAAGCUUGUUCCAGCAUUGAUCUAACUUGGUUUUUAUUUUUUCUCCUAUUUUAGUUGCCAGUUUGUAAAAUGCCUUUUCCUUUUUCUUCUCAAGGGUUUAUCUUUCAGUAGAUAAUCUUUCAAAUGUGAAUUACCUUUUAUGUUUAUUUGAUAACUCUUGAAUGAAAAUCUGAAAUAGUAAAUUUCAGUGUUACGUUUGGUCUGCUUUAUGAGCGUAUGCAAAACUAGCCACAUUUCAUUUGUAAAUUCAGCAAUGGAAUUGUUUGUUUGCAUUAAAAGAUAAUGCUUAUUCUGUCAAUGUAAACUUUUGAAGAUCUUCGGUGUAUGGCUCUUUUAUCCGUACUUUUGGUGAUUUGCUUUGUGUCUCUGCACCUUGAUUAUAGCCAGGGACAUUUAUUAAGAGCUAUUGGAAACAAAACUAAAACCAAACUCUAUAUGUGAUGUCUAUGGCCCUAAGAUAGUUAGUAUUAUGUGGUUUACCCCAUUAAUUUGUCUUUUUAAAAUUGUCUAUAAAGCAGAAGAAAUACCUGCCAAAGCAAUUAAUCAGGACAUAAUUCAUGUUCCCCUAUUUAGAAUAAUACUUACAUGUGAAAGCUACAUGGAUGUAAACCCCAACACAGAAUUUUCAUGGCCAUUUUAUUUUAUACAAAUAAACAUAUAACAGUUGUUUGGUUAGACAUCAAAUCUGUAUGCAUGACUGUAAAUGUGGAGUUUUGUUUAUCCACUUAAGACAACAGGAAAAGGGAUUCGCUGAAAAAUUAUUUAAUAGAGAGUAGAGAUAAAGUUACUUAAUUCCUUUGGGCAGGUUAUAUUUUAAGUACAAAUGCAUUGCUUUAACUUUUGGUUACUUCUAUUCCCUUAAACAAACUUGAGGAAAGAGUAUCAUACCAUACUGUAUUCUAGUAGGCCAGGGUGAUUGUGAGAACUCCACAAUAGAAUGCCAUUGUGGAUGUUAUCUUUUUCAGAGCCAAGCAUAUAAAAAGUAGCCUGUGUAUUUUUUUAAACCACAAUUUAACUUCACACCUAUGACAUGUUAUAAAGGCUGAACGGUUCCUCUUAGUAAGGAUAUUUGUUUAUAAGUGCCAGGAAAUAACUGUUUGGUAAACCUGUAUUAACAGACUUCGUUUUGCCUAGAGAAUGGAAAUAAAAAUGAACCAAAGGAUAUUUCCACAAAGAAUUAAUAAAGCUGUUUAAGAAGGCCAUGACUCAGUUUUAGGCAUAUAUGUAUACCUUUCAAUAUCCUAGGAAUUUUUAUAUUAAAAGUAAAAUAUGUUUUUCCAGUUACAGUCUACUUCAAGGAAUUACUAUUGUUCCCAUUAUCACAGGUAAAAUCAGUGUUGGGAAUUUAAUUAUAAUUUGAGAAAAAAAUAUCCAAUAAGAAUGAAUGUAGAUGGCUAAACGAUUCUUACUCAGUGUAAUGUAUAAUGCAACAGGGACCCUUGUAAAUUGUCAUAUGCCAAUAAAAUGUCAUAAGUGGUAA